rnacentral:lncRNA from 1 species
CACUAAAGUCACUGACAGCUAGAAUGUGCACCAAAUCUUGGUGAAACUAUAAAUGCAUUUAGUUUUAAAAUUGUGUGUAUCUGUAAUCAUAUAUCAAUCAUGUAACACAUCAUAAGGGCGCCAAGUCACCCACAGACUUUGACAAUGACAUAGCAGCUUCGGGUUUGGCCUUUGCUAGCUAUGAGAACGAUUAUGUCUCUUGCAGCCUUGCUUCAGCAAGAUGUCAAUGUCUUUAUCAGAAAUCAGAACCGUUGGUUUCUUCCUGACUUCCUGGAAUUUGCAUGAGAGUUCUGUUUAUUUAUUAUGCAAUAUAAACCAAUUAUCGUACGAAUUUGGCUAUUCAUGCAUGUGAGCAGAAUAUGAUUAACAAAAUUUUCAUUUGAUUAAAAUUUUGUUACUGAGAUUUAAUUUAGAUCGUACCUCAAACGCGUAUGUAUUCCUCUUCGAUUUUAGGUGUAUCUGUAGCAGAAACAGCAUCAGAAAAUUAAUUAGAUGAAUUAAACCCUAUUAAACUUUAUAAAGAAACUUGAUAACAUUCAUCGCAGCGUUAGCAAAAUAACAUCAUUAAUUAGAAAUAUAAGAGUUGAUUGUGAUCAAAAUAAACUAAAGAGUUUACAAAAAUAUGUACCAAUCAUAGCAACAAGGAAAUUAAUCUGCGAUCAGGAAUUAAAUGGAUCUAAAAUCAAGAAGGAAGAAACGAAAAGUACUAUAAGAGUCGAGGCAUUCUAUGGUCAUUGAGAGGUGAAUUUUUCGCCCCCGUUGAUGAUUGGAUGAUAUAUCUUUGACGCAAAAUGGCUCGUGCAGAUGUUCCCCAAGAUUUAAUUAACUGCAACUUAACCCUCCUGUAUGUGCUAGCGUACUGGCAAUUAAAGAUUUUAAUUCAUCAAUGGAUGCCCUCAAAAUGAAGACAAAUAGCUGGAUGGAAGAACAAACAGCAUAAUUACUUGGUUGGUUCGUUC